rnacentral:antisense_RNA from 1 species
CUUGAGCGAGCCCAGCCACAACGGCCGGUCCGCCUCACGGUCCUGACCGUAGGUCGCCAGCAACGCCUGUGCCUC